rnacentral:lncRNA from 1 species
ACCCCGCGGGGCCCCGCCGCCCUCAGGCCCCCACCAGCCCGCCGAACCUGCCUCUUUUGCUCUCUUGAAUCCCGCCCUCCUCUCCUCGCCCAACUUCUCCCAAACCCGCCUUCCCAGCCUCGCCGCGAUGAACCUGGCACCUGACGCGGUAUUCACCAGCUCCUUUCUGGGCUCCAGCGUUACCAUUUUUACGGCUUCACAACCAGUCUGGAGCAAAGAAGGAACCCCGAGGAAUUUUCUUCUUUCCAGGAGGAUACUAAGAAGUAAUGAUGCCUCUCUUUUUAUGCUCAGAAAAAUCUCAGAUGAGGACAAUCACCUUUAUUUCUAUUUUCAGCAUGAGUUCUUGCUGUGAAAACGACUGACAGAAAUUAUAUCCAGGUACCUACUGCUCUGUACUUUUUCUUUCUCUUCCAGGUUCAGGAUGGCACAUUCCUAAUUCCCUCUUGACCACAAAAUGUGAGGAUCUAGCCUCAAAUCUGCAACACUUGUAUCUAAGAAACAAAUUGUUUUUAAAUUUCCAUUUAACAGAAAUACAGAUGCAGAGCCAUGUAAUCAUCAGUCUUUGAUCACUCCGCAAAUCACAGAACAAGGAACAAAUCCUAGAGGGGAUAACAGGGAAGUUUUUGAUCCUAUAGUUCAGCAACCUCAACAUGGAGCUGGAACUCUUUCCCACAUUAAUAGCAAGGCAAGCAAGUGACAGACUUUUGCUUUUUAGUCCAAUCUUUUUUAAUCAAUUAUGAAAGAUGACAAACAUACACCUCUCUUGGGAUACUUUAGAU